AACGAACGCUGGCGGCAUGCCUAACACAUGCAAGUCGAACGAGACCUUCGGGUCUAGUGGCGCACGGGUGCGUAACGCGUGGGAACCUGCCCUUGGGUUCGGAAUAACUGCCCGAAAGGGGUGCUAAUACCGGAUAAUGUCUUCGGACCAAAGAUUUAUCGCCUUUGGAUGGGCCCGCGUAGGAUUAGCUAGUUGGUAGGGUAAAAGCCUACCAAGGCGACGAUCCUUAGCUGGUCUGAGAGGAUGAUCAGCCACACUGGGACUGAGACACGGCCCAGACUCCUACGGGAGGCAGCAGUGGGGAAUAUUGGACAAUGGGCGAAAGCCUGAUCCAGCAAUGCCGCGUGAGUGAUGAAGGCCUUAGGGUUGUAAAGCUCUUUUACCCGGGAUGAUAAUGACAGUACCGGGAGAAUAAGCUCCGGCUAACUCCGUG
rnacentral:rRNA from 1 species